GACGUAGGUGGCGAACGUUAUCCGGAAUUAUUGGGCGUAAAGGGUGCGUAGAUGGCUUGAUAAGUUAGCAGUGGGAAAAUCGAGACUCAACCUCGUGGAAGCUGGUAAUACUGUCAGGCUCGAGUGCAGGAGAGGUUAACGGAACUCCAUGUGGAGCGGUAAAAAUGUGUAGAUAUAUGGAAGAACACCAAUAACGGCGAAGGCAGUUAACUAUUCUGUUACUGACAUUGAGGCACGAAAGCGUGGGGAGCAAAACGG
rnacentral:rRNA from 1 species